UAUGUAGGUCCCGAGCGUUAUCCGGAUUUAUUGGGCGUAAAGCGAGCGCAGGCGAUUAGAUAAGUCUGAAGUGAAAGGCUGUGGCUUAACCAUAGUAUGCUUUGGAAACUGUUUAACUUGAGUGCAGAAGGGGAGAGUGGAAUUCCAUGUGUAGCGGUGACAUGCGUAGAUAUAUGGAGGAACACCGGUGGCGAAAGCGGCUCUCUGGUCUGUAACUGACGCUGAGGCUCGAAAGCGUGGGGCGCAAACAGG
rnacentral:rRNA from 1 species